AUGGAAGCCAAGGGCGCGAGCGAGCGGGAUGCUCUGAUCGACCUGGAGAGUGGGAACAACGUUGUUAUCAGCGAGCAUGGCCAUGGAAUGGAUGCUAAUUUUGCGGUGAGCCCACCAAGAACACCGCCAAAUGGCGGGCUGAAUCGUGUCAUGCACACCAAGGAUGACGGGAAUCAGCACAUGGAUUGUUCCUCGCCCGCUAUGGAAACCGCUUCCAAGAAUGGAGAUGACAGGAAGUCCGAAGGGGAGGAGAAAAUGGGCCUCCUGGACAGUUCUGGAGGUGAGAAGGCAAAGAAGAAGCGGUCCAGCUCCAAGAAGCCACCACGGCCGCCGAGGCCGCCGACGCAUUUGCCGUUGGAUGCUUCUGACCAGAAGCUCCUCAACGAGCUGAAUGAGCUCGCUUUGUUGAAGCGGGCAAGGAUUGAGCGGAUGAAGGCUUUGAAGAAGAUGAAGAAUGGCAAACAGGGUUCCUCAAAUAGCAAUUUUUGUCCCAUGAUCAUCACCAUUAUCUUCUGCCUCGUCAUCCUCUGGCAAGGGUUUUGCUCAAGGCAAGCAUCUGGAGUAAGCUUCCACGGAUCACCCGAAUCUUCGGUUAGAGAGCAUAGCAGCCUGAUCUCCAUCCGGUUCUACAAGAAGAACCAUUCUAACGUCCGACCUCACGGUUCAACCUCUGCUGCUCCCAACAACUACGAGACGCACCACCGGGGCUGGAGGUCCGUCCCGAGGGGGGAACGGCCGCGGCACGAGCACGUCGGCCGGGCCUGA
rnacentral:rRNA from 1 species